rnacentral:rRNA from 1 species
CAGCAGCCACGGUAAUACAGAGGGUGCGAGCGUUAAUCGGAUUUACUGGGCGUAAAGCGUGCGUAGGCGGCUUCUUAAGUCGGAUGUGAAAUCCCUGAGCUUAACUUAGGAAUUGCAUUCGAUACUGGGAAGCUAGAGUAUGGGGGAGGAUGGUAGAAUUCCAGGUGUAGCGGUGAAAUGCGUAGAGAUCUGGAGGAAUACCGAUGGCGAAGGCAGCCAUCUGGCCUAAUACUGACGCUGAGGUACGAAAGCAUGGGGAGCAAACAGGAUUAGAUACCCGCGUAGUCCCUGUCUCUUAUAC